AUUGGUAUAGAUUGUUAUGGAAUUCAAAUAAUAUUAAAAUACUCGUGGUUUGAUUUUCUGUAUGAUGCAAUAGUUUAGUAAUAACAUAACUCAUCGAUUAAAUUAUUUUCAUCGAUAGUGUUUUGUACACUAUAGUAUCUAUUGUUAAAUUUUGAUUUAUUUUUACUUUAUUGAUACAAUUAAAUUAAGAUUAAUAAUAAUAAUGAUUAUAAUUUUGGUGUUACGUAUACAAUUCAGUAUUAGAAAUACAAUUUUAAAAAUGCAAUAUAAAUUAUACGCGAUAUUCUUUUAAAGACUUACCUAACAUAACCCGUUAGAAAAGUGAGGUAGAAAUUAAAAUACACGCGUUUAAAGUGUAAAUUAUAAUAAAUAUACGAGUAUUAUGAGACUGUUCUAACAUCCGUAAUUCGAUUUCAAAAACUUGGACAACUUUUCUUGCACCAUAUUUAUAUUAUUAGAAUUACUAAAUAUUCACACCACAUAAAGAAGAACUUUAUCUGUACUUAUUAUUUCGACAAUAAUGUUAUCUGCUUUCGAACAUUCGGGUGUUUUCGUUAACUAUUAUUAAACAUGUUUGUGAAAUUGUUUUAAACGCUAUAACACGGAUAAAGGACUUCCAUAUGGUUUCUGAAAUUUUGAUACGUUUACUCUUUGAAAUAAUUUUACGGAUAUAGUGUACAAUUUUUCUCCGUAAAUAUCGGUUUUUCAAAAACGUUUUAGUUUAUGUCAUCACGAUUACGCGAUAAAUAAUAAUUGUCAUAAGGAAACGGAACCACUUGUAAAACAAUUUGACAGUGAAUUUGGAUACUUUUAAGUUGACCAAUUUUCGUUCUCCCCCUCCCCUUACAAGUUAUGAUAAUCGCCUAUAUUACGCGUUCUUACAAAUUCGGUUGGUAUCACGUUCUCUCAGGUUUGAUAUUGACCGUGAAGUCUUAAUAAUGUAAUAGUUAUUAUUUGUACGGCUAAUAAAAAACUAGUGAAAAUAUGUCCAUGAUGUAUGUCACUUACACGGUUUUGUUUUAAAAACCGUUUGGAUGCCUGUUUUAAUGUUAUGUAAAAUAAAAGGACGGCUAAAUUUGUUUGGCUAAACGGACGACCGCGAUUUAAUAAAAAUAAUUAGUAUUGUUAUCAAUAAAACUAUACAAAAUAUUAUGUACUUGUAAAACACUUAAUAGGUAUAGUAAAUUAUUCUUGUACCUAUGCUAUUAUAUUUGUAUUAUAUUAUAUAAUAACUGAAUACGAUUAAUACUACGCCUACAGCUCUUCGGUAGAGCGAUAUGUUGAAUAACAUACUUGAUAAUAUUAUUAACUAUUGGAUUUAAGGGGCAAACGGACAAUCUCGGGACCAUACUACAAUCAUCAUCAUGUUGUUAUUUUAACGUACUUCGAUUUGUGUAACAUUAAUAUUUACGCUGUUUGUCUUCUUCAUAAAUAAUAACAAAAACAUUAGUACUUCCAUGCCUAUCUAUAAUAAUAAAUGAACGGAUAAUAAUUACGUACGGAAAAAAAAUGCAUUUCUUUCGCAACAUUUGAUUUGAUUAUUAUUAAUAAUCAAUUUGUAUAGGUAGGUACAUAAAUUCACAAUAACACGUAUUUAAUCAUUUAGAUAUCUAAGCCGUAUAUAUGAAAAAACAACGAGAUAGCCGACUGCAGGACAGCAUCUGAGAAUAAUUUCAGGGAGUUGGGGUUCGAACAGACCCCCAGAUACGGCAUGGACCGACUUUUUCAUGAAAUACUUUAUCAUGACACAAAAACAAAGGUAGAGCUAGUGAAAACAUUUUCAAAUUUUUUUCACAUAAUAUAACAUCAUGAUGAUAUUUAUAUCAUACAUAUUAUAAACAAAUAUUGCAUGGGUUAGUCGAUCAAAUUUGUCCUUUUGGUAUAGUUGUCAGGCUCCCAAUUCAAAAAUAUUGUACUCAUAGCAUCUGCUAUCCGUUAAUUGUUUUAUACUUCAUUAUCUGUGACCUUAAUUAAAUUGUGUAUGAUUAUUACAAAAUUAUAAAAUUAUUAUGAUAUAAAAUUCUUUUGUCUUUCAUAUAUUUCUGAGAUCAAGUGUUCGAGUUUAAUACAUAUAAUAAUAUAUAGAAAUAAUGGACGACACACACGCAUAGUUGUUUUUAAAAUUAUUUGUUUCGGCCAAAAUUAAAUAUAAUGUCGGCUAUAUUUUUUUUUUUAAUUUUUAAAUAAAAAAGACAGAUUUAAAUAUUUUCCUGAUUUUCCAUGCACAUAAAUAGACUUCGUCUCUGCCUCCAAAAAAAUGGUUACCAAUCCACGUUUAUUUUUACUAUGGUAAUAUAAUAAUACGUAUUUAUUAUCAAAUAAAUAUAUUUGCUAUCGAUAAUAUUGUAAUUAUUAAUAUUCAUUUUAACGACUCCCGUUAGAAAUUUAACAACGUCAAGAAGUACAAAAUAUAAAACAAUGGUAUAUAUUUAUCAGUCAUCUUCUACGAUGCAUUUAGUAUAAUCUCAAAUAAAUCACUGAAAUACACACUUGUAUUACUUAAACGAUGGAUUUUUAUACUAUUCAAUAUUUCUACAAUAUUAUAUUAAUCAAUCCGAGAAUAUUUUUAAAAUAAUAUUUUACAUUUUUAAAGUGGCAAUUAUUCAAAAUUAAUAUACAUGUACAAAUUUGUAUUUCCUAUAAUUUAUUUGUUGUAUUAGUUAACUAUAUUGUUCAAUAUUAAAAAAUAUACAAUUUCAUAUUAUGAAUUAUAAUCAAUUCAUCUUUUUCUCCCUAAAUUCAUCUCCAAAAUUCUUAUAAACGUGAUAUUAUAAAAAAAAAUAUAAUAAUAAUAAAAAUAAUAUACCAACUCCGUGUAAAAUAUCUAUUAUAUUAAAAAUAUUGCAAUAAAUUAAUCAUUAUAGGCACCAUUGUAAAAAACAAAAAAAUGUAUUUGCAUACGAACAACUAUAGGUACAGAAAACGGUUGUACUGUCGGUUUAUAUUUUCUUUCUAAAAACGGUCUUUUAUUAUUACAAUUUUCGUUUUUACCAAACAUAAAAUAAAUCUUAUAUUAAAAACUUAAAUUAAAAUAAUAAUGCAAAGUCAAUCGAUUUAUAUAAUUAUUUAUAUUUUUUUUCUAGUGUCUAUUUGUCUAAAUAAAUGUACGUUUGAUUGUAU